rnacentral:rRNA from 1 species
CAUGUAGGCGGCUCGUCAAGUCUGAUGUGAAAGCCCCGGGCUCAACCCGGGAAGUGCAUUGGAAACUGGCGAACUUGAGUACGGGAGAGGAAAGUGGAAUUUCGAGUGUAGGGGUGAAAUCCGUAGAUAUUCGAAGGAACACCAUUGGCGAAGGCGGCUUUCUGGACCGAUACUGACGCUGAGAUGCGAAAGCGUGGGGAGCAAACAGGAUUAGAUACCCUGGUAGUCC